AGUUAAAACACAAACACUUGGUAAAUGACGGAAAAUUCUACUCAGUCGCCUUAGCCCAUCCUGCUCGCUUGACAGUUCAGCCUGCGAGAUGAAUACAAUGAACAAGAAAUGACCGCCCAGAUCUUGGCCCACGAUGGUUUGCUUCGGCCAAUUCGAUGACACUUUCUCGUUGGCAACUUUUACCACCUAUCGGCGACUUAGGGAAGCAGAAGAAGACCCUGAAGCUUGCCUUGUGACAAUCAGGCGGGCAGACAAACUCCUAGCUUUUGCACUACACUAAUGCUUUGUUUGCCCUAUUAUGGGAUACUUGUAGCAUACUUACAAUCUAACAGAGAAGAAUGUGCGUUUGAAAUAGAUGGAUCGAGCUCGUCACAUAAAAUAUCAUUCGAUACCCUAUGUUCUCUAACGAGCCAAGCGAAUCUUCCGGGCAAAAAAUUACCACAUGGUUUUUGCGUCCCUUCCUUGAAACUGAACAAUUAAGGGAUUUCUGUGAGUGGCGGAGAAGGUACUAACUACACGGCGGAUACCAGAAGCGUUUGCAUGCAUUUUUGCCCGAUAGCUAAAAGCUUCUGGUUGUGCAUCGUAUCGUUGUACAGCAGCCACGUCAGAGAUACAGUUCAAACAGAUCUCGCACUGCUUGUAUUUCAGAUACAUAAUAUAUACUCGAGACGUCUAAACGAAAAUUUCACUACGACGACUUGUCUAUUAGACGAACCUUUCUAUUGACAAGCCGCCGGAGAAAAGGCUUUUCCAGCGUGAAAAGGCUCCGCUCAAAGAUAAUUCACCUAAAAUCAUUUUCGUAUUGUUGCAUUGCGUUGUCAAAACGUGUCGAAAGCUAAAACUAUCAAAGUACCCACCCAUCUUAUCUACUUGUGCUGCGAUGAUCGGCUCCGAACUAUCGUCGAGUAAACUUCACUUUGAUUCGAGGUCGCUUAACUUCAGCGCGUUCGAUAUCCACCAGUCUUUUACCACCACCGGUCGUAAUGACUGUCAUCUUAAAAAAAAAAACGCCAGUUGGAGACUUCAUUCCUGAAACGAUCUUAAUUUUGGCUUAAAUAUGUGUAUACGCCAGCCAGCCAGCCAGCCAGCCAGCGAGACGUUCCUGGGACUAAAAGUGCAUAGAAGGGCUUCUUCACUGUAGUUCUAUGAGCCGUUAUGAAUCUAUUCAAUAGGCCACAAAAAGCUAUUUGACAGGCACGAAUAGAGUUUGCACGAGCGAAGCAAUCUCUUAAAUGACCCAGA